GACGAACCGUGCGAACGUUGUUCGGAAUCACUGGGCUUAAAGGGCGCGUAGGCGGGGUCAUAAGUCUGUGGUGAAAUCCCCCGGCUCAACCGGGGAACUGCCGUGGAUACUGUGACUCUCGAGGGGUGUAGGGGCAUGCGGAACUUCCGGUGGAGCGGUGAAAUGCGUAGAUAUCGGAAGGAACGCCGGUGGCGAAGGCGGGUCUCUGGGCAGUAACUGACGCGAGAGCGAAGCGUAGG
rnacentral:rRNA from 1 species